GUGGACCUCCAGGUGGUGCCGCUGGCUGAAGGUCUUCCAGCACUCGCCGCACGCGUAUGGCCGCCUGCCCAGGUGGGUCCGCUGGUGCUUCAGGAGGUACUCACGCAGCGCGAAGCCUUUCCCGCACUCCCCGCAGCCGUAGGACUUGUCUUCUUCGUGGGUCCGCUGGUGUCUGACCAGAUUUGAGCUCCGACUGAAGCCUUUUCCGCACUCGGGGCACUGGAAAGGCUUCCAGAAGGAGCUGUGGGUCUUGAGGUCAUCAGGCAGGGGGACAAUGCCGCGCUGGGGAGGGGGCAGCCCGGGCGCGUUCCCCACCGAGCUCCCGGCCUCCUGCUCACAGGUUCUUCCGAACUCCGGGACCUGGAGAGAGGCUUCCCCAAACCUCUCUGCCGGCCCCCGAGCAAGCGGCCCCUUGGGGUCUGCCGGCUGGGUCUUCGCCUCCUUUUCCUUGCUCCCCAGGCCUACAGGACAAGGGAGAUACAGACCGAUAUUGAAACAGAUCUGAAGGCCCAAUCCUAGACAGUUGUCAAUGCAAGAGCUGCAAUCACGUGGGAAGAACUCUCAGGAAGACUCAAGGUUGAGACGGCUAGAGGAUGCUAUGCUUGGGAAGCAGACCUCCGGCUCACCCAGUCUCAGCGUAAACGUUAGGGAAGUACGUGGGUUGUUUUGAAACAGUGAGCGGAUAAGAGGACAAGCAUAAAGCCAGAGUCUCUAGAACAGUCAGAAUGGCCAGGAGGGUGUAAAAACUUGCUAGGAACACAGUGGCGGCCUUGGCAGAGGCCCGUCCCCAGCGCCAGGAUGAAAGCGCUAGGAUGCUGGCACCUCCAUGGGUGCACCACGCACGGCUCCUGCGCUCUGCAUUUACCUCGGAGGGGUUCCACGUCCUUUGCCAUCACAGAAAUCGCACAUCUCUUCAUCAUGGGUGACAGCCUUGUACUGGACCCAGGCCUCCCAGUAUACUGCCACUGACAUUACUCUGUGAUGACCGCUAGUCAAAACUCCACAUUUAACUUUACAGUAGCCCUCCGCAUCCAAGCUUCCUCAUCCGCAGAUCCAACCAACAGCAGAUCACGCGGGACUGUAGUACGUGUUCAUUGAAAAAAUCCACGUGUAAGUGGACCCACACAGAUCAAACCUCUGUUGUUAAUGGGUCGACUGUAUGACACGUUUGCACGUUUUAAGAUGAAACAUGUUUUAACAUGUUUUAAGAUGAAAAAAGACCAGGAGACGUCAGUACAGGUGAGUGGUCAGCACAUGACUUACAAAGAAGUGAUGAGAGGAGGAAAGAGAGAAUCAGAGGAAACAAAGGAGGGGGCCCUUCGCAGCCACGGUUCCCCUCUCCCCACCGCCCACCCCAUCCAAGCCACGGGGCUGUCACCCCUCGUCCCUAGCCCUCCGCAGUGUUCACCGGCUGUCCCUGGUGGGCCCUCGGUGUGCACUUUCCAGGCUCACCCUUCCCUCCUACCUUCUCCUGCUGCUUCUCCCCCACAAGCACCUUUCCUCCCAGCUCUGACGCCAGGUAAAAUCCGGCUGCCACCUGAGACGCCCGGCCAGGGCCCUGCUUGCUCUGCAACACCAGCCCACACCAGCCCCAUCCACUGCUGAGAUCCCACUGCAGCCCCGUGCCCUCCUGCACCCACACACUGUGGGCUCCGAGGUUUCAUGAACGUCAGUCCUGCCCCAACACAGAACUGCUAACGUGGGGCCUGCACACAAGGGAGCGCUCCAUAAACACAGGCUGGUGAAAGAGAUCAGAGGAUCCCCCUUUCGCUGCUUUUCUCUUGCUCUCAAGCCCUCAGUCCCCUUCAACUACACAGUAGGAGUUCGUUCAGGGCAUCCUAACAACCGACCUGUCUCAUUUCAGCCAGAAUAACUACCUGGUGUUUUCUUGCUCCUUGUCUGCUCCUCUCCUGACCCAGGAAAGCACCUCGCCAGCUCCGAUGUGCCUUGGUCCACGCGCUUUCCACAGACCCAUUUACUCAUCUGCCGUGAUAUUCCCUUCCUUUAUCAGUAGCAUCAGGUUCUGAAAUCUGGGGCAAGGACAACAACCCUGACCUACAGCUUUCACAACUCCUCAGUUUCUUACCUCCGGGAUGGAAACAGUCUUACCUGGAGGUGAGACCCCGCAGUCCUGGGGCUCCACGUACUCCCCAAGGCAGUCUAUCUGGGCUGGGGUCACGUGCCUCCACUCCUCCUCGGGGAAAGCCAGGGCCAUGUCUUUAAAUGGGCCCAACCCCUGAAACAGCACAGGAGAUGGCUAUGGAUAAAGAAAUAAUCCCGAGGCAGGAGCAGUGGAAAAGCAGAGAGACACAGGGGACAACAUUCCAGGGGAGAACAGAGCAGGAAGGCAGAAGGAAUGCGGGUCCCUAGAUGGUUCCGAGUGGGGUCAGAAGGGCCUCCCUCUCGACAGUUCAAUGGCAGAGAACGAUGGACUUGUCUGAGCCACUGUAUUUUUGAGCCUCUGCUGCAGCCACUUGGCUGGUACCCAACAACUGCGGCCUCUAACUUCCACCGUUCAAUCACCUGCACUCGAUCCUCAUGUUUGAUGGAGACUGGGGGCUGCUGUUUAGCCCCUCAACCAGAACUGACUUUCCCUCAGAGAUAAGUAAAAACUCGGGCUGGCCCUGCCUCAGGAACAACGUUGUGUUGAAAUCAAUGUGUCGUCGUCAUGACACCGUGAAGAACUACUGUGGUAGAAGGAGAGGCUCUGACCAAAUUCAAAAACUUUGAUGUCCUUUCUUCAUCUCCUCUAAACAAUAUGCUUGGAAAACAGAAGCAGCAAACAGCACAGGCAUCAACCCUUGCCCAAAUACGGCUUUAGUGAGCUCAAACUUGAGUCACUUCUGGGAAUUCCCACAGGAGGGGUCAGAGAGACCACUCGGCUCAGGGCUCCUGGGAGCGCCCACCCGAGUCGCUUCCCUCCUGCUGACGUGGGGGGAGGAUGGGGUCCAGAGGAAGAGCAGCGGCAGAAGUAUCCAUAAAGCGCAUCCACAAAGGGCUACUGACCUCCUGGCCAUCCACCACACCCUAGAUCACGCCUCUGGGAUUUCCACCACUAAUGUCUUCCUCCUCACAAUUACAAGAGUAAUACUGAGUCGAUGGAGGAAAAAAAAGAAAAAAAAAAAAA